rnacentral:lncRNA from 10 species
UUUUGAAAUUGGCUUUCUUCACUCGUUAGUCUAAUUCCCUGCAGGUUCACGUCUUGCUUUUUUACACGAGUUUCCUCUCAGAAAGUAACUUUUUUUAAAAAAUUACCCAACAGCAAAUCUAAAGUCCAUUUCAAAUGCAAGAGUUCCCUCAUCCUUUCCUAAAUAACAGCCUCUUUUUACAGGUAGAACAGAUGGUUUGAAAAGGAAAGAUUUUUUUUUCACAUAUGGGGAAAAAAAAUUCCCAGCCUUGGAAGGAUAUUUGGGUUAGAGGCCGAAGUGCAUCACAGAUCACGCACGCGUCCACACCUCAGAAAACACUCACUCAUUCCUGAGACGCAACGUCUCCGGCACACAGCUCCGCAGCUGGGGGUGACUAAGAGCCCACACCACGCAAGUAAUAAAACGCUCCAAUUUCAUUUAUUUAAUCAUCUGUGUGCUUCAUUUGACAAAUAUUUAUGGAGUGUCUGCUGCUAGCUCAGUGCCUGGUGCCUGGGACUGAAGACCAGAGCCCCCUGGAGACCAAAAGAGCCAGCUCCCAGCUGUGAGCAGAUCGGGUCCAAAGAUCACGGGCUCGGCGGCAGGAACCUGGUUUGGUAUCCGGCUCCUCUGCGGACUUUGAAGUGCUUUACCGAUUCACAUGACAACUGGUAAAACGAAAACAAACACCUUUCCAGGAAUUGUGAAUUCGAGUUCCAGACCCUCUGGGAUUCCGGGAGCGCAGCUGCUAUUUAUGUUAACAGUCAUUGGUCCCAGGCUGGUGAGGUUAGAAUUUCCAAGUAUAAAAGUAAUUUAGUUUCGUUUUAAAUACAUUUUAGGGCCAAAGAAAAGUGGAACGAUUUAAAGAAAAAGAUGAAAUGAAUAAUAGGGCAAGUUGGGAGGUGGCUGUCCUGAGGUUUCAUGGGACAACAUUAAUUAACCUCAUGAAGUGCCUGCAUGGACAACGUGCCCGGUGUGGUUACAAACAAACCAAUCAGCACAGAUCCUGGGUGGAAAGCAGGGCGCAGCCACGGAGGCACAGUAGGGGUGCAGACUUGAAGGUUUUUAGGAGUCACAGCAACCUCCAAAAACCCAACUUUGCAAAGAUAUGGCAUCGUCAGAAGAAAUGGGGUGCAAUCUAAUGUUGACAGUGUGGAUGAGAGUGGGACACCUGCCAGUUGUUUGCAUCAGCAGACACUCAGAGUCCAUGGAAAAAAUGAGCCUAGAGGUUUUUAAACCACAACACAAGCAAAAGGCACCUGGUCCCGUUCCUCUUAAGACAGAAGAAAGAGGCGUAAAACCAGCUCCAGGUGCCACCCUUAAGAAAUGUUACAGUGCCGGAUGGGAAGAGUAAACCCUGAACAUCUCUUCUUAAUACUUUACAGACUUCAAGUGUAUUUUAUGGUGACAAAGCAUAUUGAAGACAAAUGAAACUCUACAACCCUGAAAACCAGCCUGAAUUAUUUUGAGAGACAGACAGUGGCUGCAAGGAGAAGCGUCGGGAUUUUCUGGGCUGGCCAUCUCCAGUGUCACUGACCCCGGUCUACCCCUGCAUGUUUGUUUACGGGAAAGGAGUUGAGGAGGAGGAUGUAUGGCUGAGAGCCUGAAAAUAAUCCAGGGCAGGUGGAGCGAGGAGAGGACUUUACUCCUCACACUCAUGUAGGCAUCCUGAAAAGCCACUUUUCUUUCCAAGGUGGGCACGGGCCUUGAGCUUGGAGUGGAGCCAGUUAAAGUUGUCCGCUCUGGGUCGUCAGAUGGAGAUCUUAUCUUGGGUCAUGAAUUGUGGUUUUAGGAGAAAGGCAGAAGCUAAACCCAUCUUCUGUCUGGUGGGGAGGCCCAGCAAAGGGCUCAGAAACACAGCCACAGGCCUCUUGCAGCAGCUGGAUGCACAUUUCAGGAGGUUGCCUGAAAGCAGAAUUGACUUCAGAGAGUAGGGCAGCAGAGCCCAGCCACAGAGUGGUCCCAGGAGCCAGGAAGUGCCACACAGCCCCUCGCUUAUUUUUACUCAGUAUGCCACAGAAGUCCUGACCUGUUAAAAGUGCCCUUUAAGAAUGGCUGGCCCACCCUCUCUCAGAGGGUUCAUGCUGGGGAGAGGGUUCCUGCAUGCCCGCUAAGCUCCAAAUGACAACCCAGGUGUAGAAAGGGCUUAGACUUUAGGGUUCAAACCCAUCCUAGAGUCCGGUCCAAGGCCAGUUACAGCCAAUGGGCAGUGGUAGGUGCAGCCCAGCCCAUUAGCUCAUUCUUGAGCCUCAGAGGGACAGAGCAGCACUAAUGGGUGCACAAAUGGCUAGAAUGUUCACCAACUCCUCGAGAGUGGCAUUGGACAUUUGGGCAAGGGUCUUAUGGAGGCUGAGAGUUGACUGUGGGCUCAUCACAGCUAUUUUGAGGGUCUUGACAGCCCAACUAGCAAACAAUUCUGCAGGGAUGAGAGGUCAGGGCAAAGGGAAAUGGCAUUGUCAAGUGGACAGCCAAAAAGUCCAGGAUGCCCCCAGGUCCUGGGGAACGGCGGGGGAGGAACUCAGGGACUGGAUUACCCACAGGACCUGGUGAGACCCACAGCCACGGGCUGACUUGUGUCCACUCAGAAGCGUAUGUUAAAAUCCUAACCCCCAGUACUUUGGAAUGUGACCUUAUUUGGAAAUAGAGACUUUGAAGAUGAUCAAGUUAAGAUGAAGUCAUGGGGCCGAGAGCGGUGGCUCACGCCCGUAAUCGCAGCACUUCGGGAGGCUGAGGCGGGCAGAUCACGAGGUCAGGAGAUCGAGAUCAUACUGGCUAACACGGUGAAACCCCUUCUCUACUAAAAAUACAAAAAAAAAAAAAUUAGCCGGGCAUGGUGGCGGGCACCUGUAGUCCCAGCUACUCAGGAGGCUGAGGCAGGAGAAUGGCAUGAACCCUGGAGGUGGAGCUUGCAGUGAGCCGAGAUCGUGCCACUGCACUCCAGCCUGGGAGACAGAGCGAGACUCCAUCUCAAAUAAAUAAAUAAAUAAAUAAAGAUGAAGUCAUUAGGGUAGACCCUAAAGCAACAGAGCUAGUGUCCUUGUAAAGAGGGGAAGUCUGGACACAGACACACACCUGCACUAAGGGAAGUGGGUGGGAAACACUGGGAAGAUGCCACAUGACUGCAGUGACGCAGCUGCACGCCAAGUGAUGCCUGGGGCACUGGAAGCCGGGGAGGGUUCCUGCCUGGCCCCUAAGCUCCAAAUGACAACCCAGGCAUAGGAAGGGCCUACACUUUGGGGUUCAAACCUAUCCUGGAGUCUGGUCCGGGGCCAGUUACAGCUAAUGGGCAGUGCUGGGUGCAGCCCAGCCCGUAAGCUCAUUCUUGAGCCCCAGAGGGACAGAGCAGCUCUAAUGGGUGCAAAAAUGGCUGGAAUAUUUCACCAACUCCUUGGGUGGGUGGGUGGGGGGGGGGCAUUGGACAUUUUGGGCAAGGGUCUUCUUGAGGCUGAGAGAGGCCAGGAAGGAGCUUCCCCUGGAGUUGUCUGGGAGUGGGACCCUGCUGACACCGACCUCAACUUUUGACUUCUGGCCUCUAGAGCUGUGAGAGACUAAACACCUGUGGUUUUAAGCCACCUGGUUUGUGUCACUUUGCUGUGGCAGCCACUAGAAACUAAUACACCCAACUAGAUACGUAUCUUUGUCACAGUUACAGGAAUCUUUAUUUUAUCCAAAAGCAAAAGACACUGAACUUUUGUGUACAUUCCAGGCCUGCUGAUUGUAGCUGGUCUAUAAGCUCGUGUCGGAGUCUAUGGUGGUUGAUUUUUGUGUCCCUUUGACUGAGCCACGAGGUAUUUGAUCAAACAUUAUUCCAGGUGUUUCUGUGAGGCUGCUUUUGGAUGAGAUUAACAUGUAAAUCAAUAGAGUCAAGCAAAUCGUUCUCCCCAAUGCAGAUGGGUUUCGUCCAUGCAGCUAGAGGCCUGAAAAGAAGGAAAAGCUGAUCAUCCUCGUGUAAGAGAGAAUCUCUCCUACCCAACGGCCUUCCAGCUGGGAUACUGGCUUUUUCUUGCCUUUAGACUUGAACUGAACAAUUGGCUCUUCCUGGCCUCAGGCUUUGGGACUCAGAAGCACACAUUGACUGUCCUGGGGCUCCAGCUUAUGGACUACCCUGCAGAAAGACUGUGGGACUCGUCAGCCAUCAUCAUCCUGUGAGCCAGUUUUACACAGACACACACACACACAGUCGCACUCUCAUGCUCACACAUACACACUCACACACAAUCACACACUUGCACACACACAGACACUCUUACACACUCAUUCACACACUCACAUGUGCACACACACAGUCUCUCACACACAUCACACACACACACACACACACACACACACACACACACUAUUGGUUCUGUUUCUCUGUAUAACCCUGAUGAAUUCAGGAUCUUAAAGGUUACCUAUUUCAUUGUAAUGCUGUUUUCUAGCACCAGGCUAGUCCUUUUGUCGGCAGAACUGGUAGGCUCACUUUUUUUUUUUUCAGACUGUUUUGUGUUUUAUUUUCUUCCAUUUACAAAAAAGCAUUUCUAAGCCAGGGCAGUGAAGCCUGACGCUACCGUUCACGGUCAGUGAAAUGAGCAUUCGAGGAUGGGACUCAGCCUGUCUGGACAGGUCCCCAGACAAAAAACACAGAGAAUCAAGAACGCAGGCGCUCCCUGUCGGACGCCAGGCCGGGCCCUGUGACAAGGAUCUCAGCGCUGGCGGUGGGGCUGCCCUGCGGGUUCGAGGCCUGGCUCUUCCUGCCCCACUGCCUGGUGUGUAGCCCAGGGGCCGGGCCGCCUGCGCCCCCCGCCGGGGGGCACGCCCGGCCCAGGGUUGGGGGUGUCCGGCUUGCCCCCAGGGGGCCAGCGGGGCCUCUGUUAUCUCGCUCCAGAACCGACAUCGCCAGCCAAGACCUUCCUCGUGGAGCCCUCGGUCUGGCCAAGGACGCUCCUUGGAGUCUGCUUAGACGCACAGCGGGCUCAGCUUUGCCAAAUUCUCCAAGGAGACUUUCCAUGAGGCGCCUCCUGCCAUCUGUGGGCGGCGUUGGGAACUGCGGCCACCGCUGCUUGGGAAUCAGGACGUCCCAGCUCCCAACCGGCGGUCAUUCAUUCCCUCAACACACACUCUGGGCCGCCCGCCUGGCUCCAGGCAGGCCCUCCGGGGACUCGGGAAAUAGGAGUUGUUAAACAUUUCUGAAACAUUCCUCUUCCAUUUAUUCUGUGAUUUUCUUCAGAAACACAAGGCGUGCACGAGUCAGCUUAUCAGCUUAUCCUUCACCCACACGUAGGCUCUUCUUUCCAAUCAAUUUUAUCUUUGUUUUUUUCUAAGAAAAUUUUAGGGAUUUUACUUGUUUUUGUUUUGUUUUUGGGUUUUUUUGUGUGUUUUGUUGUUGUUAUUUUGUUUUUUUUUUUUUUUGGUGGGGGGUUGGCUUGGUUUGGUUUUUGCUUCAUUUUUUAAUUUUAGGGAUUUUUAAAAAGCCAGCAUUCCUUAAUCUUCUGAUUGUUGUGUGACUGUUGUAUAAUAUUGAGAAAUACAUUCCUGUCAUCCACAACUAACAACCAUUAAUAAUGUGUCGUAUUGUUUACUUUUUUGUUUUUAACUAAAUUUUGCUUUGGGGAAGUAUCCAUGACGAUACAAUAUAGCUGUGAGAUAUUUCCUGUACCUGCUACGUAACACCCCUUCAUGUAAAACGCAGAGCAUUUGGUUUAUCCACAUCCCCCCGCCCCCCGCCCAUGCAUAUUAGUGGUUUCCAGUGCUAAAGGGACAGCGCCCCCCACGUGCAUUUCUCCAGGUACUGAGGCAGGAGAAUAGGGGCUGGAGGCAGGGGACCAAAGGCUGUUUCACUCAGACUUCCUACAACUAAAUUGAAAGGAAAACCCUAACUUUCCACUCCUAAGUAACAAAAGGACCAGAGGCUAUUCCCUUUCUAAACCCCCCCACCUUUUCCUCGAGGCAAAUGGGAAAUUGGCUGUCCGCAACCAAUCAGACUGAUUGUGGGUGGAGUCUUCGUUUGCACCUCUGUACCUUCGCUCCAGUCUCUGAACGGUUGCUGUCCACAACGAAUCAGACUGAUUGCGGGCUCAGCCUUCGUUUGCAUAGAAGUAUAACUUUGUAACUUCACCCUAGCCUCUGACUGGUUGCUUUUGGCACCUUCAUUUACAUGAGGUGAGCAUGAUGUGGCCAAUUGGAAACUUCUAGGGGAUAUUUGGACCCAAGAAGAUCCUGUAUCCAGGCCCUUGAGCCGCUGCUCGGGUCCGCUCCCAUACUGUGGAGUGUACUUUGGUUUUCAAUAAAUUCCUGCUUUCGUUCUUUUGCUGCUUCAUUCUUUCUUUGCUUUGUUGGGCGUUUUGUCCAAUUCUUUGUUCAAAAUGCCAAGAACCUGGACAAGUUGCAGUUAUGACCCUCGACCGGUGAUAGUAGCACUCGCUCCUAACAGCUUGGCUGCAGUAAGCCUAGGCUUCCAGGGAGAGCCUCUGCACCUGCUGCUGUGCUGCUUGAGUUCUCUCAGACAAGGAAGCAUGAAAAGGGCUGCCUUUUUCAAACAGCAGGGGAAGGAAAACACAGUGAUAACAAAUCCAAAUAUUAUUUCAAUUGAGAUCUUAUCAUAU